GCCCAGCCGUAAACUUUUAUUUACACCUAAAUCGCCAGGGAACUACGAGCUAAGCUUAAAACCCAAAGGACUUGACGGUACCCCAUAUCCCCCUAGAGGAGCCUGUCCUAUAAUCGAUAAUCCACGUUUAACCUCACCAUUUCUAGUUAAUCAGCCUGUAUACCUCCGUCGUCAGCUUACCACGUGAGCGCUUCUUAGUGAGCUUAAUGUUUUUCACCAAUACGUCAGGUCAAGGUGCAGCAAAUGUAAUGGGAAGAGAUGGGCUACACUUUCUACCCUAGAAAAAACGAAAGACUACUUAUGAAAUCUAGUUGGAAGGCGGAUUUAGCAGUAAAAAGGAAUCAGCAUGUCCAUUUUAACCCGGCACUGGGGUGUGU
rnacentral:rRNA from 1 species